CUCUCUGUGGGGUCUGCACCGGCAAGGGCAGCUGCUCCCUGCCUUUCCUCAGGAGUCAGUGGAGAUGAAUUUUCUCUGAUUGUCAGAUGUUCACAAAGGCUUUAACUUGUAUGAAUGAACUCCGAGACCACCUUUCUGAAUGCACAGACCUGCCACGUUGUUGCUGUGUAAGCAUGAAUUUCAUCAUAUUGUCAGCUUUUCAUCUUACCCAAAAGCUAUAAACAUUGGCUAAAGUCCUCAAUUGCUUGCUCCUCAUUUUUGUAAAUGUGUGCAUGGCAUUUCCUUGAACAGAUGGCUCAUAAAACAGAUAUAAAUUCUCUUUGAUGAGUAAAUACGAAAAUUGUUUUCAGUUAAAUAAAAAAUGCCACUCAGAAAAUUGGCAAA
rnacentral:lncRNA from 1 species